GAUGAACGCUGGCGGCGUGCUUAACACAUGCAAGUCGAACGGAAAGGCCCGGCUUUUGUGCGGUGCUCGAGUGGCGAGCGGGUGAGAAACACGUGAGUAACCUGCCCUUGACUUUGGGAUAACUUCAGGGAAGUGGGGCUCAUAUCCGAUAGAAGCUCCUGAGCCGUGGUGGGGGUGGGAAAAUUUAGGUGGUUGGGGAUGUAUUCGAGGCUUAUGAGCUUGAUGGUGGGGUAGUGGAUGACCAAGGCUUUGACGGGUAGCCGGCGUGAGAGGGGGACCGGCCACAUGGCGACUGCGAGACGCCCCAGACUCCAACGGGAGGCAGCAGGGGGGAAUAUUGCACAAUGGGCGGAAGCCUGAUGCAGCAGCGCCGCGUGCGUGAUGACGGCUUUCGGGUUGUAAACCGCUUUCGCCUGUGACGAACCGUGAGUGACGGUAAUGGGUAAAGAAGCACCGGCUAACUACGUG
rnacentral:rRNA from 1 species